rnacentral:rRNA from 1 species
CAUCAGUAAUGAUGGGUAGGGGAGCUUCCCAUACGGGUUGAAGCAUGACCGUAAGGACAUGUGGACAGUAUGGGAGCGAGAAUGUUGGCAUGAGUAGCGAGAUGUGGGUGAGAAUCCCACAGGCCGUAAACCCAAGGUUUCCAGGGGAAGGUUCGUCCGCCCUGGGUUAGUCGGGACCUAAGCUGAGGCCGAAAGGCGUAGGUGAUGGACAACAGGUUGAUAUUCCUGUACUACCGAUAACCGUUUGAGAGAUGGGAUGACACAGUAGGAUAAGCUAAGCACACUGUUGGUUAUGUGUGCCCAAGCAUUGAGGCAGUCAAAGUAGG